rnacentral:misc_RNA from 1 species
AGAGAGUUGAAUAGAAAUUGGAGUAUCCCUUUCUUCAGCUAAAUCUUCAAGUUGAAGGUCUUUAAGUGUGAAAAUGUAAUCAGAAUUCCAUUCUCCAUGCCAUUUUCCAUCUGAGCUAGAAAUUCUCACCAGAGGCUUUUUGCUUUUUUUUGUUAUCAAUGACAAGUGAUUUCCUUUGCUGAUCCUUGUACUACUAUCUCUUUGUGGAAUACUAGUGUUUAUGCAGCUUCUUGAUGAUAU